CUGAGCUUGAAAAAAAUUGCUGUUAAAGGACCCCUGCCACCAAAAUUGAAACCUCGAGAUGUUUUUGUUGUUUGACUUUCCUGUAUACGGGGACACAUCUGACGGAUUAUUAGUGACGAACGUUGCCUUUAAG
rnacentral:lncRNA from 1 species